AGCGAACGCUAGCGGCGGGCCUAACACAUGCAAGUCGAGCGGGGGAGCAAUCCCCAGCGGCGGACGGGUGAGUAACACGUAGGUUAUGUGCCCUUUGGUGGGGAAUAACCGUGGGAAACCAUGGCUAAUUCCGCAUAUCGAGCGAAAUCUUGAAAGCCUUUCGGGCGCCAAAAGGAGCAACCUGCGGCCCAUUAGCUUGUUGGUAGGGUAACGGCCUACCAAGGCGAUGAUGGGGUAGCUGGUCUGAGAGGAUGAUCAGCCACACUGGAACUGAGACACGGUCCAGACUCCUACGGGAGGCAGCAGUGGGGAAUAUUGCGCAAUGGGCGAAAGCCUGACGCAGCCACGCCGCGUUGAGUGAUGAAGGCCUU
rnacentral:rRNA from 1 species